AGUGGGGAAUAUUGCACAAUGGGGGAAACCCUGAUGCAGCCAUGCCGCGUGUGUGAAGAAGGCCUUCGGGUUGUAAAGCACUUUCAGCGAGGAGGAAAGGUCAGUAGCUAAUAUCUGCUGACUGUGACGUUACUCGCAGAAGAAGCACCGGCUAACUCCGUGCCAGCAGCCGCGGUAAUACGGAGGGUGCAAGCGUUAAUCGGAAUUACUGGGCGUAAAGCGCACGCAGGCGGUUGGAUAAGUUAGAUGUGAAAGCCCCGGGCUCAACCUGGGAAUUGCAUUUAAAACUGUCCAGCUAGAGUCUUGUAGAGGGGGGUAGAAUUCCAGGUGUAGCGGUGAAAUGCGUAGAGAUCUGGAGGAAUACCGGUGGCGAAGGCGGCCCCCUGGACAAAGACUGACGCUCAGGUGCGAAAGCGUGGGGAGCAAA
rnacentral:rRNA from 1 species